UAAAACGGCAUAACCCUUGUGAAAAUAAUCCAAACCCCAGGGAUUACUUUCAAAGCCUCUCAAAGCUGGCUGCUCGGGACUGUUCAGGUGGAGUUGGAAGCUGAUGCAGAAGCAGCAUUAUUGGUCUGUCCACGGUCUCCAGUAUUAGCAUCUGCAAGUCAAAAAGUCCCAAGAGAGAGCAUGAGCAAUGCUAUAACAACAAAAGAGAACAAGUACACUGUUUCAACUGCAGGCUGUGAACUGUAUGGCCUUCCAAGCUGUUAUUUGGAACGUUGUUUUAAAUAAGGCCAACACUAUGAAAUCUGAAUUUCUCUAUUCUUGGAUUUAAGUUCAUGCCUCAGCAUGGUCCUGGUACCGGGAAGACAGUGUCUUUGAAUAAGUUGCAGACUCAGGGAGCCAGAGACCAUUUCAGUCAAAGCUCUUGCUACAGCUGGGAUCAGCUGUAUAUGAACACUCAGCUGGAGUCUAGUUCACUUGAAAAUAAAUGAACAGUGCACAGCUGGGAAAACUUGCUAAAAAUUUGAACCAUGUUACAAUAUGCCAUCUGCUUAAGUAAGUAAAUAGGUGGAGGCAAUGAAAGUAACGUGGGUCAGUGUUGAUGGGCAGAACAGACCCUCUUCAUUAUUCAUAGAGAUGGAAGACAGACAACCAGCAAAAAAGAAACAGCAACUGCAGUACCAAUUCACUUAGUCAAUUUAAUAAAGCAUCUUGUAUCAACAGAUGAAUGGAUAAAAGAAAAUGUGGUAUAUAUACACAAUGGGGUAAUAUGUAGCCAUAAGAGAGAAAGAUGGGAGGCUAAGUGGGAGGACUGCUUGAGCCAGAGAGGUUGAGGCUGCAAGUGAGCCAAGACCACCUGGGAGACACAGUAAGAUACCGUCUUUAAAAAAAAAAAAAAAAAAAAAAAAGAGAGAGAGAGAGAAGAAAGAAAAGAGAAAAGAAAAAGAAAAAGAAUGAGAUCCUGCCAUUUGCAACAACAUGGAUGGAACUGAAGUCAUUAUGUGAAGUGAAAUAAGCCAGACAGAGAAAGACAAACUUUGCAUGUUCUCACUUAUUUGUAGGAGCUAAAAUUUAAAACAACUGAACUCACGGAGUUAGAGAGAAGGAUUGUUACCAGAGGUUGGGAAGGGUAGCGGGGGUGGGGGAAGUGGGGAUGGUUAAUGGGUACAAAAAAAAAAAUGUAUAAGACCUAGUAUUUGCUAGCAAAACAGGGUGACUACAGUACAAAAAUAAUUUAAUUGUACAUUUUAAAAUAACAAAGUAUGACUGGAUUGUUUGUAACAUAAAGGAUAAAUGCUUGAGGUGAUGAAUAUCCCAUUUACCCUGAUAUGAUUAUUACACAUUCCAUGUCUAUAUCAAAAUAUCUCAGGUAACCCAUAAAUAUAUACACCUACUAUGUCCCCACAAAAAUUAAAAAUUAAGAAAAGGAAAGCAUCUUGUAGUCAAAUCUUGACGUAGAACUUACUUAGAGCUUACUUUGCCCUAAUCUUUUAGAAAUACGUACAACUCUACAACUAACCAUUAUCUCCUCCCCCCUUUUAAGGUCUAUUAUUAUUUCACAGCAUCCAUUAACAUUUAAGUGGGCAUCUAACUGUGUCCAAAUUGGUUUAGUAGACUGCUGUUUUAGUGGCUAUCAAGUUGCAUCCUUGUCAUCUCUCUUAAUGACAGAGAAGGUACUGCUGGCCAAAUUUUCUCCCAAAGAUUUCACACUAAGCCCUGAGCAAGAGAGGUAGCUUGACUGGGAUGGGCAACUUUGAAAAGCCAUCUCUCUAGAAGCCACAAUGCCAUCAAGGUUGGUGACACCGAAAGGCAGACUCAGAAGUUUUUUUCUCUCUAGGACUGAAGGGAUUUGUAGAUCUACCAUGUGCUAUGGUGAGUAGAAUAACCAAUGUCAUGGUUGAAUGCAACGUUUGGUCCUGGAUCUUUCUACUUUGAAUUUCUGAAUUAGAGGGAGACACAGAAUAUCCAAGGACACAUAGGGAACUCUAUGAUGGAUUAGCUGUUCAGUUUAUCAUUUCUAAAGCCAAUCUAUAAAAAUUAUACUUCCUAAUUUCCCGAUAAGCUGCCCUUAUAUACAUUUAGCACAGCCUUUGGGGAAGGAAUGUGAAUAUCUCUUAAUGUGAAUGAUUAGGUUUAAUUCAUUUAAUUUCCUUCAAAAUAGCUAAAGCUGCUUCUAAUCUUGUUGUCAUGUACACAAGUGAAGAUAUUAUGGCAUCAGAAUCCACACAUUAGGUUCAUAUAGCCCAUGUAAUGGGGUCAUAUUAAUUCAUCAGUAUGGCAAAUGAACAGGUGGCAGGAAAGGGUAUAUGACACAGAACCUACUCUCCAAAGCCAGGCUGACCACCUUUUCUAACAAUCACUGAGGAACUAUGCUAACACUUCAUUCGUGACUCCUGACCUUCCUUAGAUAUGCCCUGUUUAAAGAAGUUUUACCCUUAAUGAUCAUCCACAUUCUGUGCAUCAAUAACCUAACAUCAAUUCCUGUCUAGACCACAGAUUCCUCCAAGCCUUUCUCAGAUAAAAUGUUCAUUUUCAUGAUUCAUGCACAGGCUGCAUUAAAAAAAAAAUCCAGAGAAAACCUGGAACACCACAAAC
rnacentral:lncRNA from 1 species